rnacentral:misc_RNA from 1 species
AACUUUUGGCAAUGGAUCACUUGGUUCUGGCAUCGAUGAAGAACGCAGCGAAAUGCGAUAAGUAAUGCGAAUUGCAGAAUUCCGUGAAUCAUCGUAUCUUUGAACGCAUAUUGCGCCUUCUGGUAUUCCGGUAGGCAUGUCUGUUUGAGCGUCAGCAAAAUCCCCUCUUCGGGUGGGGUAUCCGUAUUAAAUAACUCCUGCCGGUGUUGGGUCAAGAAGGCUGAUAGGUGACAGUUAUGUCCUUACCCGCCCCUGCCCUAAACUUGCUGUAUGACUGCGAGCCCGUCCAGGCCUGAUUCAAUGGAGUGGUAUUAACGGUCUUCCGAUGAAUCUGCUGGAGGCCCUAGCGGCACUAAAACCUUAGAUUUUCCCCUUUACGGUGAAGGUCCUUGAAGUUUUGACCUCAAAUCAGACAAGGAUACCCGCUGAACUUAAGCAUAUCAAUAAGCGGAGGCU